UACGUAGGGGGCAAGCGUUGUUCGGAUUUACUGGGCGUAAAGGGCGCGUAGGCGGCGCGGUAAGUCACUUGUGAAAUCUCUGAGCUUAACUCAGAACGGCCAAGUGAUACUGCAGUGCUAGAGUGUGGAAGGGGCAAUCGGAAUUCUUGGUGUAGCGGUGAAAUGCGCAGAUAUCAGGAGGAACACCAGUGGCGAAGGCGACUACCUGGCCUGUUCUUGACGCUGAGGCGCGAAAGCUGGGGGAGCAAACGGG
rnacentral:rRNA from 1 species